AGAUGAUGAUGAUGAUGAUGAUGAUCAUCAUCAUCAUCAGCAGCA
rnacentral:miRNA from 1 species